rnacentral:rRNA from 1 species
UUAAAUGAAUUGACGGGACCCGCACAAGCGGUGGAUGAUGUGGUUAAUUCGAUGCAACGCGAAAACCUUACCCACCUUUGACAUGUACGGAAUCCUUUAGAGAUAGAGGAGUGCUCGAAAGAGAACCGUAACACAGGUGCUGCAUGGCUGUCGUCAGCUCGUGUCGUGAGAUGUUGGGUUAAGUCCCGCAACGAGCGCAACCCUUGUCAUUAGUUGCUACAUUCAGUUGGGCACUCUAAUGAGACUGCCGGUGACAAACCGGAGGAAGGUGGGGAUGACGUCAAGUCCUCAUGGCCUUAUAGGUGGGGCUACACACGUCAUACAAUGGAUGGUACAAAGGGUCGCCAACCCGCGAGGGGGAGCCAAUCCCAUAAAGCCAUUCGUAGUCCGGAUCGCAGUCUGCAACUCGACUGCGUGAAGUCGGAAUCGCUAGUAAUCGUGGAUCAGAAUGUCACGGUGAAUACGUUCCCGGGUCUU